rnacentral:rRNA from 1 species
CGGCGUGCUUAAUACAUGCAAGUCGAACGGAGUUAAGGGUUUCGGCCUUUAACUUAGUGGCGAACGGGUGAGUAACGCGUGAAUAACCUGACUCAAAGAGGGGGAUAACAACGGGAAACUGUUGCUAAUACCGCAUGAGACCACAACACCGCAUGAUGAAGGGGUCAAAGAUUUAUCGCUUUGAGAGGGGUUCGCGUCCCAUUAGGUAGUUGGAGGGGUAACGGCCCACCAAGCCAACGAUGGGUAGCCGAGCUGAGAGGCUGAUCGGCCACACUGGAACUGAGACACGGUCCAGACUCCUACGGGAGGCAGCAGUAGGGAAUAUUGGGCAAUGGGCGCAAGCCUGACCCAGCAACGCCGCGUGAGGGAAGAAGGUUUUCGGAUUGUAAACCUCUGUCCUAUGUGACGAAGGAAGUGACGGUAGCAUAGGAGGAAGCCCCGGCUAACUACGUGCCAGCAGCCGCGGUAAUACGUAGGGGGCGAGCGUUGUCCGGAAUUACUGGGCGUAAAGGGUGCGUAGGCGGUUUGGUAAGUUGGAUGUGAAAUACCCGGGCUUAACUUGGGGGCUGCAUCCAAUACUGUCGGACUUGAGUGCAGGAGAGGAAAGCGGAAUUCCUAGUGUAGCGGUGAAAUGCGUAGAUAUUAGGAGGAACACCGGUGGCGAAGGCGGCUUUCUGGACUGUAACUGACGCUGAGGCACGAAAGCGUGGGGAGCC